GAUGAACGCUGGCGGCGUGCCUAAUACAUGCAAGUCGAGCGAACGGACGAGAAGCUUGCUUCUCUGAUGUUAGCGGCGGACGGGUGAGUAACACGUGGAUAACCUACCUAUAAGACUGGGAUAACUUCGGGAAACCGGAGCUAAUACCGGAUAAUAUUUUGAACCGCAUGGUUCAAAAGUGAAAGACGGUCUUGCUGUCACUUAUAGAUGGAUCCGCGCUGCAUUAGCUAGUUGGUAAGGUAACGGCUUACCAAGGCAACGAUGCAUAGCCGACCUGAGAGGGUGAUCGGCCACACUGGAAGUGAGACACGGUCCAGACUCCUACGGGAGGAAGCAGUAGGGAAUCUUCCGCAAUGGGCGAAAGCCUGACGGAGCAACGCCGCGUGAGUGAUGAAGGUCUUCGGAUCGUAAAACUCUGUUAUUAGUGAAGAACAUAUGUGUAAGUAACUGUGCACAUCUUGACGGUACCUAAUCAGAAAGCCACGGCUAACUACGUG
rnacentral:rRNA from 1 species